rnacentral:rRNA from 1 species
UACGAAGGGGGCUAGCGUUGCUCGGAAUUACUGGGCGUAAAGCGCACGUAGGCGGCUUUCUAAGUCGGGGGUGAAAUCCUGGAGCUCAACUCCAGAACUGCCUUCGAUACUGGCAAGCUAGAGUCCGGAAGAGGUGAGUGGAACUCCUAGUGUAGAGGUGGAAUUCGUAGAUAUUAGGAAGAACACCAGUGGCGAAGGCGGCUCACUGGUCCGGUACUGACGCUGAGGUGCGAAAGCGUGGGGAGCAAACAGG